rnacentral:rRNA from 1 species
GUCGAGAAUCUUCCCCAAUGGACGAAAGCCUGAGGGAGCGACGCCGCGUGAGGGAUGAAGGCCCUUUGGGUUGUAAACCUCUGUUAGGGGGAAAGAAAAGCAGUGGAAGCAAUAUGUCCAUUGCCUGACGUUACCCCCAGAGAAAGCUCCGGCCAACUCCGUGCCAGCAGCCGCGGUAAUACGGGGGGAGCAAGCGUUGUCCGGAAUCAUUGGGCGUAAAGGGCGUGUAGGCGGCUUGGCAAGUCGAAUGUGAAAUCCCACGGCUCAACCGUGGAACUGCGUUCGAAACUGCCUUGCUUGAGGGCGGGAGAGGUGUGCGGAAUUCCUGGUGUAGCGGUGGAAUGCGUAGAGAUCAGGAAGAACACCGGUGGCGAAGGCGGCACACUGGCCCAGCACUGACGCUGAGGCGCGAAAGCGUGGGGAGCGAACGGGAUUAGAAACCCCAGUAGUCC